GUGAGAGGGACGAGAGGCUCUGCAAUGUGUAUCAUCUGCUUACAUAAAUCAUAGGGCCGGGGAAUAAAUGAUUCCAGUAGAAAGGACGAUUCAGCUCCACUGUCUGAUCCACAAUGAGCAGCAGCUGGCCAGACUCUCUGACUACGUGGCUUUCCUAGAGAACUAGCAUACCCUUCCCGCUCAUAGAUGAAAAUAAGGAACAAAAAGAAAAGCAGAACAACGACACAUAUCAUGGUCACAAACCCCAUUUCUACUAAGUCAAGACAUUACAUAUACAUAUUUAUAUACUGCAUUUUUUCUUAAAAAAUAGUUACCAAAGCUUAAGUUCUAAAAAAAAUUGAUUUUUGUAGGGACUGUAUGUUGUAUCUUAUUAAAGUUCAUGUUCCUUAGUA